AAUUUCCGAGGUGUGCCCCGACCCGAAAAAGGUUGGGAAACACUGCACUAACCUUACACACACGCUGUGAGUACACAGCGUGUGAGCUGCGGGGACGAGAUCCACUAAAGGCCGGCGUGAUGACGUCACAUCAUCGCGCCGGCGCCUGGAGGACCCGUCCCUGCGGCCUGCAUACUGUAAGUAAGGGUAUGCUCAGGGUCCAGGGGAUUAUGGAAACAGGAUAUGCGCCACUGUUAGGAGGAGGGGGGUCAGAGAAAAGGGAAUAUUUAAUGAGGGUCUGCAGCAGGGACGUGCACACAUAGGAGUGAAAGGGGGCUGGAGCCCCUGCCCUUUUCCUCACCUGCCCCUCUAGUGCCCUCACAAAAGGAGGUGCAGACUCAGGCUGACAAGUGAAGUAAAAAGGAUCCAUUGCUGGAGAUUUGUAUGUGGUUUAAUGGAGGGUGCUGUGCCCUCCCUGCAGCAAGGGGGCGCCACUCACCCUGUCAUUAUCUGCCAUUUCUUUGCUUCUCUCCACACGGAGGAGACAGGAGCAGAGGAGGCAGAGGGAGGCCCCGCCCACAACAUGUCCGGCCACAAACCAGUCUAAGCAGCCCUUACUAGGAUCAGAAUGCAUUGGCAUAGUGAGGAGACGUCUGGGCAUCAAGUUCUGCAGAGAGAAGAUUUAGCUGGAACAAAUCCUGGCGUGAGGGGCCGGUGCUGGACACUGUGUAGGGACGCGGGAAUGCAAAGUCAUACACAUGACUGUGACUGAUGCACUAUCUCCAGGACAUGGAGUAGCAUUUCCGGACCUACAGCAAGACGUUGGAUGAAGGCAUAGCCCCAGAAAUAACACUGGUCCUGUUCAUCAGUGAGGGGCCGGUGCUGGACACUGUGUAGGGACACGGGAAUGCAAAGUCAUGCACAUGACUGUGACUGAUGCACUAUUUCCAGGACAUGGAGUAGCAUUUCGGGACCUACAGCAAGACGUUGGAUGAAGGCACAGGCCUAGGAAUCAUGCACAUACACAGAAACAUUUGCCCAAAUUAUAGAGGUAACCUCCUUUAGUAUGCCCAGAGGAAGGGCCAUACAGUAGCCAUGGAUUCCCUACAGGUUUCCUCCCCUCUGGAGGUUUUUCCUGUCCUGAGUAUUAGUUACUGUACGCUCUUUGUGAGUGAUGGGAGGUUACAAAAAAUCCCCUACACAAACAUUUUAAUAAAUAAUAAAUAAAG